rnacentral:rRNA from 1 species
AGAGUUUGAUCCUGGCUCAGAGCGAACGCUGGCGGCAGGCCUAGCACAUGCAAGUCGAACGAACUCUUCGGAGUUAGUGGCGGACGGGUGAGUAACACGUGGGAACGUGCCUUUAGGUUCGGAAUAACUCAGGGAAACUUGUGCUAAUACCGAAUGUGCCCUUCGGGGGAAAGAUUUAUCGCCUUUAGAGCGGCCCGCGUCUGAUUAGCUUGUUGGUGGGGUAAUGGCCCACCAAGGCUACGAUCAGUAGCUGGUCUGAGAGGAUGACCAGCCACAUUGGGACUGAGACACGGCCCAAACUCCUACGGGAGGCAGCAGUGGGGAAUUUUGGACAAUGGGGGCAACCCUGAUCCAGCCAUUCCGCGUGAGUGAAGAAGGCCUUCGGGUUGUAAAGCUCUUUCAGCAGGAGCGAAACGGUCGUUUUUAAUACAGACGGCUAAUGACGGUACCUGCAGAAGAAGCACCGGCUAACUACGUGCCAGCAGCCGCGGUAAUACGUAGGGUGCGAGCGUUAAUCGGAAUUACUGGGCGUAAAGCGUGCGCAGGCGGCGACAUAAGACAGAUGUGAAAUCCCCGGGCUCAACCUGGGAACUGCGUUUGUGACUGUGUUGCUAGAGUGUAGCAGAGGGGGGUGGAAUUCCACGUGUAGCAGUGAAAUGCGUAGAGAUGUGGAGGAACACCGAUGGCGAAGGCAGCCCCCUGGGUUAACACUGACGCUCAUGCACGAAAGCGUGGGGAGCAAACAGGAUUAGAUACCCUGGUAG